UGGCACACCCUACAGGAUUCGAACCUGUAACUGACGGUUUAGAAGACCGUUGCUCUAUCCGUUUGAACUAAGGGUGC
rnacentral:tRNA from 1 species